rnacentral:lncRNA from 1 species
UGCAGAUUCGACACUACAAAAUCUCAAUUGUUCAGCUAACGAUAAUCACUCUGAUUCAACACCUCACAUUUCCCACCACCGCCGAUUCAGAUUACCGCAAAAAGUCAGAAGGAAGAGCUUUACCUGCGAACUGGACUGGAAUAUGGCCUUGAUCGGUAACCGCCUGCAGAGGAAAACUGGUUACGAUGGGUGCAUGUAGAUCAGGGAACGAGGAAGUAUCGGAGGGAUCAUAUGAACGCAUAGUUGUAACGAAGAAUAAGAAAUCAACGUUGCAUCAUCAAGCUCGCAAAUCCCUGUGGGGCGAUCUUAUGUAUCAUAUUCUUCCACUUCUCCUCCCCGAUUUUGAUGGCAAAAUUUUCAUCUCAUAAUAAGCAAUUUCCUUUUUUCUGGUCAGCUUGAUUAAGUACGUAAGCUUAAAACCAUUAUUCAAAUGUAAAUAAUCCCCUGGCCGCAGAUAUGGAAGGAUAAUCCCCUGGCCGCCGUGACCAAAGUUGAGGAUAAUUUCCCGAGCUUCAGCUGAGUGACAAGAAGUAGAGCGAGACAGAGUGUUGUCGGAACAGAGCCCAUCUUCUUUCGAAUCACAAUUUCUCAAAUUUGCUCCCCCGCAGCCGUUAUCAAUUUCAUCUCCCAAUUUCAGGGAUUCCGAAUCCGAAUCGGAAACGGAAUGACUACUCGUGGUGUCCGUACUGAUCAGCUUCAUCCAUGUGAGGAAGCUGCGCCGCCGAUCCUCGACACUGUCGAGAUUCUUGUCAGUCCAGAUCUGGAAAUUACCAACGCAUCCGGCGGAGGAGCAAUCAGACAACUCGAGAUCUCUAGAAUCAAAGAAGCUAUCUUCUGUCGAGCAACUCCCCAUGAUCACUUGAUCGAAAUUGGAUAACAGAGGAACCCAGAUCUUGGUUUGUGAUUGUGAAGAUAUAAAGACCAGCUGAAUCUCACUAUCCUCACUUCUCUUCAAUGGCGAACCUCCUGCCGGAAACAACCAAGCGGGGCUUCUCUCCAGAAGGACUAAUUUCCCUAUGAACUCCAACACUGUGCUCGAGAGAGCGCCGUCGCUGCAGCCGU